rnacentral:rRNA from 1 species
GACGAACGCUGGCGGCGUGCUUAACACAUGCAAGUCGAACGGUGAAGGGGCCUGCUUUUGUGGGUCCUGGAUGAGUGGCGAACGGGUGAGUAACACGUGAGUAACCUGCCCCCUUCUUCUGGAUAACCGCAUGAAAGUGUGGCUAAUACGGGAUAUUCUGGGUCUGCCGCAUGGUGGGUCUGGGAAAGAUUGCGCCUUUUUUGGUGUUUUUGGUGGGGGAUGGGCUCGCGGCCUAUCAGCUUGUUGGUGGGGUGAUGGCCUACCAAGGCGGUGACGGGUAGCCGGCCUGAGAGGGUGGACGGUCACACUGGGACUGAGACACGGCCCAGACUCCUACGGGAGGCAGCAGUGGGGAAUAUUGCACAAUGGGCGCAAGCCUGAUGCAGCGACGCCGCGUGAGGGAUGGAGGCCUUCGGGUUGUGAACCUCUUUCGCCAGUGAAGCAGGCCUGCCUCGUUUGUGGGUGGGUAGACGGUAAGCU